rnacentral:rRNA from 1 species
UACGUAGGGAGCAAGCGUUGUCCGGAAUCAUUGGGCGUAAAGCGCGCGUAGGUGGCUUCGUAAGUCCGUUGUGAAAGUCAAAGGCUCAACCUUUGAAAGCCGAUGGAUACUGCGGAGCUAGAGUACGGAAGAGGCGAGUGGAAUUCCUGGUGUAGCGGUGAAAUGCGCAGAUAUCAGGAGGAACACCGAUGGCGAAGGCAGGUCUCUGGGCCACUACUGACGCUGAGAAGCGAAAGCAUGGGGAGCGAACAGG